rfam:Ictidomys tridecemlineatus contig091250, whole genome shotgun sequence.
CCUUCGAUAGCUCAGUUGGUAGAGCGGAGGACUGUAGCGGGCGCUCCUCAGGCAUCCUUAGGUCGCUGGUUCGAAUCCGGCUCGAAGGA